rnacentral:rRNA from 1 species
AGUGAACGCUGGCGGUAGGCCUAACACAUGCAAGUCGAACGGCAGCACAGUAAGAGCUUGCUCUUACGGGUGGCGAGUGGCGGACGGGUGAGGAAUACAUCGGAAUCUACUUUUUCGUGGGGGAUAACGUAGGGAAACUUACGCUAAUACCGCAUACGACCUACGGGUGAAAGCAGGGGAUCUUCGGACCUUGCGCGAUUGAAUGAGCCGAUGUCGGAUUAGCUAGUUGGCGGGGUAAAGGCCCACCAAGGCGACGAUCCGUAGCUGGUCUGAGAGGAUGAUCAGCCACACUGGAACUGAGACACGGUCCAGACUACUACGGGAGGCAGCAGUGGGGAAUAUUGGACAAUGGGCGCAAGCCUGAUCCAGCCAGACCGAGUGGGUGAAGAAGGCCUUCGGGUUGUAAAGCCCUUUUGUUGGGAAAGAAAAGCAGCAGGUUAAUACCCCGCUGUUCUGACGGUACCCAAAGAAUAAGCACCGGCUAACUUCGUG